rnacentral:rRNA from 1 species
UGGGGAAUUUUGGACAAUGGGCGAAAGCCUGAUCCAGCAAUGCCGCGUGUGUGAAGAAGGCCUUCGGGUUGUAAAGCACUUUUGUCCGGAAAGAAAUCCUUGGCUCUAAUACAGUCGGGGGAUGACGGUACCGGAAGAAUAAGCACCGGCUAACUACGUGCCAGCAGCCGCGGUAAUACGUAGGGUGCAAGCGUUAAUCGGAAUUACUGGGCGUAAAGCGUGCGCAGGCGGUUUGCUAAGACCGAUGUGAAAUCCCCGGGCUCAACCUGGGAACUGCAUUGGUGACUGGCAGGCUAGAGUAUGGCAGAGGGGGGUAGAAUUCCACGUGUAGCAGUGAAAUGCGUAGAGAUGUGGAGGAAUACCGAUGGCGAAGGCAGCCCCCUGGGCCAAAUACUGACGCUCAUGCACGAAAGCGUGGGGAGCAAACAGGAUUAGAUACCCUGGUAGUCCACGCCCUAAAACGAUGUCAACUAGUUGUUGGGGAUUCAUUUCCUUAGUAACGUAGCUAACGCGUGAAGUUGACCGCCUGGGGAGUACGGUCGCAAAGAUUAAAACUCAAAUGAAUUGACGGGGUCAUAGCUGUUUCCU